AUGGUCUCGAUCUCCUGACCUCGUGAUCUGCCCGCCUCAGCCUCCCAAAGUGCUGGGAUUACACGCGUGAGUCCCUGCACCCGGCCUCUUGUUGCAGUUUUAUAUGAUGUCAGUUUUCUAAAUUGAUUAAGAAAUUUCUCAAGUUAAUCAACAUAAAGACGCUGCCUGCACCCCUUUCUUGCAAGACUCUAAUCUUCCCUCACCUUUCUGAUUGUGGGUGAUAAGACUCCCAUUUCAGAAGGGGUGCUGCCUCAUACGCUGGGGGAAGGAAUGCUCCUCAGAGAAGCCAAGAAGAAUCUAAACGGACGGGCCUUGCUGGGUUUCCUCAGUCUACGAGCUUAGAUCAUACCCUUUUUGUUCAUUCAUAUUUCUGCACAGUUGUCAAUUAUGCCUAUCCAAUGAAGUCUCCAUAAAAGGCCAAGAGAACAGGGUUUGGAAUGUCCAGAUAGCUGAACAUGUGGAGGUUCCUGGAGGGUGGAGCUCCCAGGGAGGGCAUGAAAGCUUCAUGCCCCUUCCCCCAUAUGUCACCAUGCAGCUCUUCAUCUGUAUCCUUUAUAAUUAGCCAGUAAACAAGUGUUUCCCUGAGUUCUGUGAGCCUAGGUAUUAGCAAAUUAAUUGAACCCAAGGAAGGAGUCAUGGACACCCCAAUUUAUAGAUGUUUGGUCAGAAGCACAGGUAAAACAACCUUGGGCAUGCAAUUGGUAUGGGAAAUAGGGAGCAGUCUUGGGGCCUGAGCCUUCAACUUGGAUCUGACGCUAUCUCUAGGUAAAUAGUGCUGGAAUUAAAUGGGAAGUCCCCUGGCUGGUGUCCGCUGCAGAACUGCUGGCUUGCUGGUGGGGAAAAAUUUCCACAUAUUUCUACUGACAACCACUAUUAACGUUUUGGUCUAUGUCCUCCUCUAUUUUUUUCCCCCUUGGCAUACAUAUAAGUACAUUCUACAUAUUGUUUUUUAGUCUACAUUUUAAUUUAGUAAUAUAAUGUAGAAAAGAAGAGAUUAGAAAAAUAUUCUUAAUUUUUCUGUAGAAGAUGUUUUAUUUAGUGGGAGUAUGUUCUUUUCUCUUAUUUUGCAGUUAUAAUCCAAAUGUACUUAAGGCCUCCCAGCCUUAUGAGGUCUACCUUUCCUUUAAUAACCAAAUAAAGUUGCUUAAGCCACCA